UUGCUCACUUUGGCAACAAAUACAACUAAAUUUUGAAUGAUACAAAGAUUAGCAUGGCCCCUGCACAAGGGUGACACACAAAUUCAUGAAGUUUUACAUAUUUUA